AAAGCUUUGCUUCAUCGUUAAACAAUCAGAGUUAGUCUUUAUGUUGAAGGUAGGAGCCGAUGACCUGAUUUGACACUGCUCUACCUACACUUGGCUAGUUACUAAAAUUAAAAAUCAAUUAGCAUUAAGGUAUUGGCUUGUUUUAGUGCUCAAAAUUGAGGUUCAGACUUAAAGUGAUUCAUAAACUCCUAUCCCCGCAGUAUCCAUCUCAGAGACGACAGCACCCAUGGCCCUCUGGAAACCAGUAGUUGUGGUGUUGCUGGCCUGGGUGUCCUGGCAACGGGGAGCUACGGAGGACCUCCGCAGUUUCAAGGAUCAGCUCAGCGACUGUCUGGAGGACAAGGACUACCAGGAGCUUCUGGACAUCAGUAUCCAUGGCCUCCCCCCUGCACAGACCCCUCGGCACGUGGUGGUCGUGGGCGCCGGCAUGGCCGGCCUGACCGCUGCCAAACUGCUGCAGGACGCGGGACACCAGGUGACGUUGCUGGAGGCUAGCGGGAGGGUGGGGGGGAGGGUGGAGACCUACAGACACCCGACAGACGACUGGUAUUCUGAACUGGGAUCCAUGAGGAUCCCCAGCUCCCACCAUAUUGUGCUGUUUUACGCUAAGAUGCUGGGUGUGGAACUGCGUCCAUUUGUGAUGUAUGACCCCAACACCUUCUACCUGGUCAAUGGGCAGCGUGUGAAGACCGGGGCAGCAGACAAAAACCCCGCCCUCCUCAAAUACAACCUCCCCCAUAGGGGGAAGGCCCUGUCGGCUGAUCAGCUGCUGGAUCAGGCCUUGAAGACGGUGAAAGACACAGUGAGACAUGAAGGAUGUGAGGCUGCCCUUAAGAAAUAUGACCAGUAUUCGGUCAAGGGUUAUUUGGUUCAAGUGGCUAACCUGAGUCCUGAGGAGAUAAGGAUGAUAGGAGACCUGCUGAAUGAGAACAGCCUGAUGUACACUGCCCUGACCGAGAUGCUCUACGAUCAAUCAGAUAUCAACGACCAAACUGAGUAUUUCGAGGUGGUGGAUGGCUCAGAUCGUCUCCCUCAAGCCUUGAAUAACGUCCUUGUUAACCCCGCCCAGCUAAAUUCUCCGGUCAAACAAAUCAACCACUCGGACACUGGCGUCGAUGUAUUUUACCUGAAGGGUAAAGACUCAGUUCAGACCAAGCUGUCUGCUGACGCAGUCCUGGUCACGACCACAGCCAAGGCAGCUUGCUUCAUAGAAUUUGACCCCCCACUAACCCCAGGAAAGAGGCAUGCACUGAGCAGCGUUCACUACGACAGCUCCACCAAGAUCAUCCUCACCUUCAGCCGAAGGUUCUGGGAGGAUGAUGGCAUCAAGGGGGGGAAGAGCAUCACAGACCGCCCCUCUCGCUUCAUCUACUACCCCAGCCACGGCUUCCCCCAGAACCCAGACAUCGGCGUGCUGCUGGCCUCCUACACCUGGUCUGACGAAGCUCUGCUCUUCCAGGGCCUGGGGGAUGAGGAGCUGAAGGAGGUGGCCCUGAAGGACCUGGAGCUAAUCCACGGGGAGCAGGUCUGGGACCUGUGCACGGGGGUGGUGGUAAAGAAGUGGAGCUCUGACCCCUACAGCCUGGGAGCCUUCGCCAUGUUCACUCCCUACCAGCAUACUGAAAUCGCCUCUGAGCUCUUCCAGGCCCAGGGCAGGGUUCACUUCGCUGGGGAACACACCGGCUUCAGUCACGCCUGGAUUGAAACAGCCAUGAAGACGGCCAUCAGAGCUGCCAAGAACAUCAACCACCAGCUUCAAGGCGGCUUCAUAUCCACUGAUAGAGAAGAGCUCUGACUCCAACACCAAGCUUCAAGACAGCUUCAUGUCUGCCGCUAGAGGAGAUCUCAAACUCUAACACCCCAGCAUUAUUUUGUUAUUAAUCACAUAUAUUGAAGCCUGAGAAGAUAGUACCUUCAUGCUAGCAGUACUAGCUCUUUAUUUGCAUGUGUAAGCCUUGAGAACAAAUCUAAAACUAAAUUGGUGUCUGCUAUGAACUCUAAAGGUAAUGAUAAUCUGAGACUGCAGCCUACAUGCAUGCAAUAUCCUAGCUAUGCACCCAUUACAUCACCUUUCCAAGUACUGUUACUUAACAUAAGACACAGCCCAUCUGGCAAUCUAAAUAUUGCACAUUUCCAUGAAACAUACAGACGACUAUUAGACAAAUGUUGUCCUUUGUGAUUAUCAAAAUUAAAAACUUUAACCAAAAUUACCAAAAAUGCCAAAAAUAUUGGCUUGUAUUAGUAUCUCAUCGAAUGCGAUGUCCAAAUCACGAGUACUCGUUUUUUGUUUGCACUCUUUUUUUCGUUGCACAAGGAAUUUCUGCGUCAGUUUCCGCCAAUGUACGCAGACUAAGGUCAUUUCAAGCUUCCUUUAAUAAAGAAUGAAUGAACAGAAUGGAUGUUUAAUGAAUAACUACAUCUGGAUAUUGAUUUACCUUGUGUGACCCUGUGUGACCGUUGAUACUAGAGCAGUACAUUAUCCUUCUUAAUCCUUUUUUCUUCCCUUUCAAUCACGAGUUGUAACCUUCUGGGGUUGAGGUCAGGGUUUUGGGAAGGCCAUUCUGAAAGCUAGAUAUCAGCUUGAGCCAUUCUUAAAGCACUAGGAUGUGUAAUGUAAUGGUCCUGCCAAAGUUUCCCAUCACAGGUCUAUUUUCCUGUCCAAACCUCCCAUCAUUCUGUUACUCAUCACAUGCCAUGACAUACAUGGCCUUUAAGAGUGUCCACUGUGGACCUCAAUUGGACACGCCUGUCACCAAUAACAAUGCACCACCUCGAUGACUUCUACCCAGAUGUAGAUAUAUGCACCAUAUUAUAAUAAUAUUUUGGGCAGCUACUAGUCUAACCACCAGAAGGCUGUGACUGGGCAGCUCCCAGUAAAACCAGUAGAAUAAUGAGGUUGGUUCCCUGGUGCUAUUUUGCAGUUUCAGAAAACAAUUCCACCAAAAACCAGGAAAUACCUGGUCUAAAGUUAUUUUAAGGGCGCAUGCAUAAUGUUCCUUACGCUCCUCACGCAUACACUUCGCUUCUCUCAUCUACCUAGCCACACAUUCUUGGUAAAUUAUUUGGGAAAGAACAGCUGAUACAGCGGUAAUAAGUUGUACUUUUAAAUCCAUGCAUCUGCAAACACCGUACAGCAAACACAUUUUUUCUUGACACAGACAUCAUGUACAAGCCCAUAACUUUAAGAAUUGAUGAGUAUUUGAUCGUGAGAAAACAUUGCUUUACCGCGAUUGAGUGUUAAAAGAAUGAAUGAAUGUGUGUAGGCCUAUGUGUAAAAUAAUUAAUGAAUGCAGGCGCGCGUGUGCGCGUCCAUCUGUUUAAACACACACAAACUAAACACGUAACACAUAAUACAGUCCAUGGCAAUGUAUAUUAACGGGGGGACACAUAACGAUAACGUUAUGUGUCCCCCCGUUAAGUCGAUAACGAUAAUGCAUACAAUACUGGUAAGAAACGAUGUUUGUUAAUGUAUUGCGUAUAUCAUUAUAUAGAACCACAGUUGCCGCAUAUCAUAUGUGUGUUAAGUUUUCUUUGCUGAAAUUUAUUUGAGGACUGAGUAUUUCUGAAGUUGUGAAAGAAAUGUUAUUCCAUGUGUGAAUUAGGCCAUUUUAUUUGGCCAUAAACUGAGCCAUUUGAAGUUUGAAAUUGAUAUGGUCAUGCAUCUGUCUCAUCAGAGACUGCAAACGCGCUGUCAAAAUAUCAACUGGAAUAGUAGCAGCUGAAGUAUCAGUAGUAGCUGAAGUAUAAGCAGUAGUAGCUGAAGUAGUAUAAGCUGUAGACUGGGCAUUCGAAGAGACUCAGCUAGGCUGCAUUUAGAUUGUUACAUUUGGAUGAAACACUCACGCAAUUCCUAUUCAAGAAUGAGGAAGCCUCAACUUGAAAUGCCGGCCUUAAUCACAUGAAUGAAAGGGGAAGAGAAAUUCUUGAGACUGAACUGGCUCGCCGGGUCACACGUCCAAAUUACGAUUGAGAUUUAGUAAUUUACCAAAAAUACCUUGACUUUAGUCACGCUUGAGUGCAGAUGAGGUCUGUCUACUGGCAGGUCCCGGUAUAACCAGUAGAAGACUGGUUGAACUGGGCAGCUCCCAGUGCAGCCAGUAGAAGAAUAUUAAAGAAAAUUGUGAUAAUUGUGAUGAAAAGAUUCCCAAAACUUUUCCCCGCCCAACUCCUUUUCACUUACCAACAUAUUAGGUGUGAUUACACCAGCCAGCUUGCACAGGUGAAGACGGUUGGUUUACAAAAAUCACCAUACAUUUUGUUACAAAAAACAAAAAAUACCUCUUCUACGUGACAAAGGGGUUAGUUAUUUGACUUCUUGUCCAGGUGCACAGAUUGGAGGGAUGGCCUGAUUUGACAAUAUCU